UACGGAGGGUGCUAGCGUUGAUCGGAAUCACUGGGCGUAAAGCGCGUGUAGGCGGCCCCGUAAGUCUGGUGUGAAAUCCCGGGGCUCAACCCCGGAACUGCACUGGAUACUGCCGGGCUUGAGGACGGGAGAGGAGGGUGGAAUUCCUGGUGGAGCGGUGAAAUGCGUAGAUAUCAGGAGGAACACCGGUGGCGAAGGCGGCCCUCUGGACGGAUACUGACGCUGAGGCGCGAAAGCGUGGGGAGCAAACAGG
rnacentral:rRNA from 1 species